CUAAGCGUACACGGUGGAUGCCCUGGCAGUCAGAGGCGAUGAAGGACGUGCUAAUCUGCGAAAAGCGCCGGCGAGGUGAUAUGAACCCUUGACCCGGCGAUGUCCGAAUGGGGAAACCCAGUGUGUUCCGACACACUAUCGUUAACUGAAUACAUAGGUUAACGAGGCGAACCGGGGGAACUGAAACAUCUAAGUACCCCGAGGAAAAGAAAUCA
rnacentral:rRNA from 1 species